rnacentral:rRNA from 1 species
CGGGGUGCCCAGGCGCGAAAACUUUACAAUGCCGGCAACGGCGAUAAGGGAACCUCGAGUGCCAGGUUAUAAAUCUGGCUGUCGUGAUGCCUAAAAAGCAUUGCAUAGCAAGGGCCGGGCAAGACCGGUGCCAGCCGCCGCGGUAACACCGGCGGCUCGAGUGGUAACCGUUAUUAUUGGGUCUAAAGGGUCUGUAGCCGGCCGGAUAAGUCUCUUGGGAAAUCCAGCAGCUCAACUGUUGGGCUUCCAGGAGAUACUGUCUGGCUCGAGGCCGGGAGAGGUGAGAGGUACUUCAGGGGUAGGGGUGAAAUCUUGUAAUCCUUGAAGGACCACCAGUGGCGAAGGCGUCUCACCAGAACGGACCUGACGGCAAGGGACGAAAGCUAGGGGCACGAACCGGAUUAGAUACCCGGGUAGUCCUAGCCGUAAACGAUACUCGCUAGGUGUCGGCCACGGUGCGACCGUGGUCGGUGCCGUAGGGAAGCCGUGAAGCGAGCCACCUGGGAAGUACGGCCGCAAGGCUGAAACUUAAAGGAAUUGGCGGGGGAGCAC